CCCUUAGACGUUCUGGGCCGCACGCGCGCUACACUGACCAGUGCAACAAGCAUCCGUCCUUGGCCGACAGGCCCGGGCAAUCUUUGAACGCUGGUCGUGAUGGGGAUAGACUUUUGCAAUUUUUGGUCUUCAACGAGGAAUUCCUAGUAAACGCAAGUCAUCAACUUGCAUUGAUUACGUCCCUGCCCUUUGUACACACCGCCCGUCGCACCUACCGAUUGAAUGGUCCGGUGAAGCCUCCGGAUUGGCGCGCGCCUCGGUGCCGCCGAGAAGUUGGCUAAACCUUACCAUUUAGAGGAAGGUGAAGUCGUAACA
rnacentral:rRNA from 1 species